rnacentral:rRNA from 1 species
GAUGAACGCUGGCGGCGUGCCUAAUACAUGCAAGUCGAGCGAACAGAUGAGGAGCUUGCUCCUCUGACGUUAGCGGCGGACGGGUGAGUAACACGUGGAUAACCUACCUAUAAGACUGGGAUAACUUCGGGAAACCGGAGCUAAUACCGGAUAAUAUAUUGAACCGCAUGGUUCAAUAGUGAAAGACGGUUUUGCUGUCACUUAUAGAUGGAUCCGCGCCGCAUUAGCUAGUUGGUAAGGUAACGGCUUACCAAGGCAACGAUGCGUAGCCGACCUGGGAGAGUGAUCGGCCACACUGGAACUGAGACACGGUCCAGACUCCUACGGGAGGCAGCAGUAGGGAAUCUUCCGCAAUGGGCGAAAGCCUGACGGAGCAACGCCGCGUGAGUGAUGAAGGUCUUCGGAUCGUAAAACUCUGUUAUUAGGGAAGAACAAAUGUGUAAGUAACUAUGCACGUCUUGACGGUACCUAAUCAGAAAGCCACGGCUAACUACGUG